rnacentral:rRNA from 1 species
GCAGAGGGGGCUUAGUGGUGGGGUGACUGCGUACCUUUUGUAUAAUGGGUCAGCGACUUAUAUUCUGUAGCAAGGUUAACCGAAUAGGGGAGCCGGAGGGAAACCGAGUCUUAACCGGGCGUUAAGUUGCAGGGUAUAGACCCGAAACCCGGUGAUCUAGCCAUGGGCAGGUUGAAGGUUGGGUAACACUAACUGGAGGACCGAACCGACUAAUGUUGAAAAAUUAGCGGAUGACCUGUGGCUGGGGGUGAAAGGCCAAUCAAACCGGGAGAUAGCUGGUUCUCCCCGAAAGCUAUUUAGGUAGCGCCUCGUGAAUUCAUCUCCGGGGGUAGAGCACUGUUUCGGCUAGGGGGCCAUCCCGGCUUACCAACCCGAUGCAAACUGCGAAUACCGGAGAAUGUUAUCACGGGAGACACACGGCGGGUGCUAACGUCCGUCGUGAAGAGGGAAACAACCCAGACCGCCAGCUAAGGUCCCAAAGUCAUGGUUAAGUGGGAAACGAUGUGGGAAGGCCCAGACAGCCAGGAUGUUGGCUUAGAAGCAGCCAUCAUUUAAAGAAAGCGUAAUAGCUCACUGGUCGAGUCGGCCUGCGCGGAAGAUGUAACGGGGCUAAACCAUGCACCGAAGCUGCGGCAGCGACGCUUAUGCGU